rnacentral:tRNA from 1 species
CGCGGGGUGGAGCAGCCUGGUAGCUCGUCGGGCUCAUAACCCGGAGGCCGCAGGUUCAAAUCCUGCCCCCGCAA